GCAUUCAAUCAAAAAUCAAUUAACACCAUAAAACACACUUUGACAAAUCCUUAAGAAAGAUGAGUUUUUUACACAGAUUGAUUUGUAUAAAUAAGAAUUUCUUUUCAUUUUCCCUAAAACAAUUUUUUGAAGCUUCAAGAAAAAAAAACAGGAGGAAAAAAUUAGUUUCCUAUUCCAAGAUUCAAUGUGAAAACUGAUGUUCUACUCUCCAUAUUUUCGGGAUUUACUUCAAGAGGUUGCCUGGGAGACUUAUCUCUAUAAGACAAUCUUCGUUCACAGUGAAGUUUCGUCCCUCAACUUCCCACUAUCUAUUGCCAUCUCUCCAGAAUUCAGAGGAACUUUGUCCCAGCCCUGGCACUCAACGGACGUAUGUGGAAUUGCUGUAAGUACUUGUAGAAUUCAGUGAAGACAUGGAACUAUUUAAGCUAGAAGUGGAGAAUCUGAUCCAUGCUUUCAGGGUGCUCAGCAGUAAAAAACAGAAACCAACCUUGUCAAAUUUAAGUAGAAAAGAAAUUUUUUAUGGAUAGUGCUAUGAACUGAAUGUUUGUGUUCCCCAAAAUUCGCAUGUUGAAAUCCUAGC
rnacentral:lncRNA from 1 species